UGAGUUACAUCCUAAAGUUACCUAUUAACAAUGUGGGUGCUGAAGGGAUCUGUGGCUUUCGCGGUUGCGGUACUGGUUGUGCUCCAGUGCGGCAGUCCCAUUCAAGGUGUGGACGUAAAUACGCCUGAGCAAGAACUCAAGUCAAUCGAAAGUACUGCGACCUCCAUUGAAACCACCCUCGAUAAAAAUUUGGAACGAGCAGCACCGAAUGAAAAUGCGGCACUCACUAAAAUUCGUGCAAUGACAAGCUCCUAUUCCCAUCCAAGCAACUUGGAGGAACUACGAGGUAAUGUUGAACUCUGAGAUAGAGUGGGCUCAACACAAGCUCCGCACCAGUCUCUGCAACCAGUACAAUCAGUUCAAGAAGUUCAUUGCUCAAAGGCCUCCUGUUGAUGCUACUCUCAGAGAGUGGAUAAACUCUGCCGAGUACAAGUCCAAAACGGUCUUCCCUCAUUUAGAGGCAGAACUCAUCGCUCCGUUGCUGAAAAACAAACAUAAUGGACAAAGCCGUCUUUUACCAGUCCCGGAGUUAGAAACUAAAUCCAUUGCUGAGAAAAAACGAUUCUUUACACGACGCAUCCGAGAGCUGACCCACGCAAAUGAUCAAAAAAUGGAAGCUUUUGAAAAAGGGGCGAAAGCAGUUUUGGAUGCCUUGCACAAUGCAGUUUUGACUUCGAGUGGAAUGGACAGGGACCUAAAGGGUGAUUUAUCUAAGCCCUACAGCAUCGAAGAAAAGGCGGACGUGAUCCAACUUGGCCUCAACGUCGGUGAUGAUUUGAACUGCCCUAGACCUAAAAUUUGAACCGUUUUAUCUGCUCUUUCAUCCCCAUUUACAACCGCUGUUGUGUAUUCGUAUUUUUCUGGGUAAAAGAAUGUACCUCUAAUCCAACAUUUUAAAGUUGACUGAAAUAAUUCAAUUGUUCUCGGUUAUACGAUUCCUAGAUCCCUAGACAAUUUUGCAAAAAAGGAAAGAAAAAUAAAUGUAUUUUAGCAAAAUUCUUUAAAUAUCCCAAUGUUUGCUUACUUCGCUGAGGAUUCUCCGUAACACACGGCGUGAUAUCAACCACUACCUUUCGUUUUUUUAAUAAGCAUAUGAUUUUUCUAAAUCAGAUGGAAUGUAAAUCCAGUUUAAAGGAUAAAAAAAUAUACACAUCAUCAUAUUGCUAAAAUCGAAUAUAUCUCUUUUAUUACCUUAUUUGGAAAAUUUUACUCUUUGAUGGCCGAGCUUCAAAACCAUGUAUCUUCAUUGCAAAGUUACAGGGAAUACAGGAGAAAAAGUUGAUGGAAAAUGAUAUAUUAACUUCCAUACUUUAUAAAAAAUGGAGUAUGCGCUGAAACUUUUACACGUUUCGGUUAUGAUCCGCCCUCUUAAAGUUCAGCACGGAAAAAAAGAAUACCUAUGUUGAUUUAGCAUUAUUUGUUAAAAACAUGUCCGACAAGUUUCAAAUGCUGAUUUUACAAUACAAAAAUGCUAAGAGAAAAUUUGAAUUUGUUCGUUUUAC
rnacentral:lncRNA from 1 species